rnacentral:SRP_RNA from 2 species
GCCGGGCAUGGUGGCGUGUGCCUGUAAUCCCAGCUACUCGUGGGGGCUGAGGCAGGAGAAUUGCUUGAACCCAGGAGGCAGAGGUGGGAGUGAGCCGAGAUUGCACCACUGCACUCCAGCCUGGGUGACAGAGCAAGACUCUGUCUCAA